UUUUUUUUUUUUUUUUUUUUUUUUUGUGGCUCUCAAGGCAUGUGGAAUUUCCCGGGCCAGGGAUCAAAUCUGAGUCACAGCAGUGACAAUGCUGGAUCCUUAGCCCACUGUGCCACCAGAGAACUCCCAACCUUGGCUUCUAAUGCCAUCCUAAAAUAAAAGGGACUAGAGCUUCUAGGAGAAAUGGCUGACUCCACAACCAGGGCUGGAAAUGUACAAAAUGAGCCUGGAGUAUCCAUAGCACCAGAAAGUAAGGAAAUGCUAAAAAACAAACAAAAAACUUCAAAUCAACCCCAAUAAUGAAGGUCCGUCAAAGGGACACAUGAGCCAACUGAAAGAGCUCCCAAUGGCCAAAGCUGGAAUAAGGUGAGCAACAGAAUAUAGUAUAGGAUUCCAAUCCCAAGUAUAAAGUAUAAAAUAUCCAUGAGUCCAUGCUGAUAAAAAUUAAUGAUUGAGAAGUUCCUGUUGUGACUCAGAAGAAACAAACCAGCCUAAUACCCAUGAGGACAUGGGUUUGAUCCCUGGCCUUGCUCAUGGGUUAAGGAUGACACGGUGCGGUGUGGGUUGCAGCUGCAGCUCAGAUCUGAUCCCUGGCCCAGGAGCUCCAUACGCUGUGGGACAUCCAAAAAGGGAAAAAUAAGUACGUUUGGAGUUCCCUGGUGGUCUAGUGGUUAAGGAUUUGGCACUGUCACUGCCAUGGCUUGGGUUUGCUCCCUGGCCCAGGGACUUCUGUGGGCCGUGGGUGCAGCCAAAACAAAAAUACCAAAAAGGACUGGUUAAGUCAGAGAGGCCAUCACAGGUGUGCACGCUGGCCUGUGUGUACUUGUGUUCCUCUGGUUAUACGCAGGCACGCACGCGUGGGCGUCUCCGCUCACUCACCCACAUCUCUGAAGGGUUACUCCAGACAUGGGUAACUCUGGUGGCCUCUGAGAAGGGGACUGAGGAGCUAGGCUUGGGAAGAGAAUUUUCACCACGAAGCCCUCCGCAUCUUUGCAUUUAGAACCAUGUGUAUUGUAUUUACAAAAGUGGUAGAAUCAGAGAGAAAACCACACACCCCGGUGGGUCACAGCGGCUGGGGCUGGUCUGGGAGAUUCACCCAAUCACAGGGUAGGACACUGCGGAGCAGCUGAGAGGCCGAGGGGGAGGCGGCUGGCUCUGGUCUGUCUGGCAGCAGGCGGGGAGGGUGGGCACCUCUCAAGGCCCGAGGCCUUCAAGGGCUGCAAUGCCCCUGAGAGCAAGCUGACAGGGGCCGCGGAACGGUACCCAAAGACGACUCUGGAAAAUCUGAAGUCACUCUCCUAAGACCCCGCCCUCCCCUCUCCAAAAGGGCCCUGUUUCAAACCUGCACCGAGGCAGCACAGGGCGGGGAUUAAGGGGCAGGGUCCUCGUCUCCUCCCUGACGUCACGCCCAGGGCCGCCGCCAGCCCGGCUGGUGAGGACCUGGCAGUUCCUUCCCCUGAGCCUCCGUGAGGCACGACCGUGACACGACUUACCUCUCGAUAGGCAGGCUUUUCAUGAUGAGUGAGCUCUACAUGUUUCCGUAUCACCUUAGUUCCUGUUACACAUGAAGAAAUUACCCCGUGCCCUUAAACUUAGUAACUGGAGCUCUUCCAAUGAACCCUGGCUAACAUUACACAUGACGUUGAACUCGAAGAAACUACUAGAGGGGAAGAAAGAGCUGAAGAUCAGCAAGGAAAGCGUGGGUGUCCCUGCCCGUGCGCGCCUCCUUGUGGCCCUGACAUAAAAGGGCAGCCUCUGGAAUCUUCCUGACAUCAUUUGCUGUCCCUCUGAGGUCCAACCUCAACCAGUCCCACCAGGGUCUGGCCUGGGCCCUCACCAGGAAGGGGGUCUCUGGCAGCUCCCCUACCACUGUCCCCUCCCAGCGCAGGCCCACUGAUUGGGACAAUGCUCAACAUACAGUAGCCUCCCGAUAUAAUGUUACUGAAAAACUAAAAAUAAUCCAAUGAUCACUCUGGCAAGACAAAAAACAGGUCUAGAGACUUUGACGGUGAUGGAUAUACAACAACAUGAAUGUACCUCACAGCCCUGAAAAGUACACUUAAAACUGGUUCAGGAGUUCCCUUGUGGCUCAGCAGUGAAGCAUUUGGCACUGCCAGUGCAGUGGCUCUGGUUAUAGCUGUGGCACAGGUUCAUAAUCUCUGGCUCAGGAACUUCCACAUGCCACAGGGGUGGCCAAAAAAAAAAAAAAAAGUUUCAAGUGGUAAAUUUUGUGUGUAUUUUACCACAAUGAAAAAAAAAAAAAGA
ensembl:lncRNA